UACGUAGGGUGCAAGCGUUGUCCGGAAUUAUUGGGCGUAAAGGAGCUACGUAGGCGGUCUGUCACGUCGGCUGUGAAACUCCCGAGGCUCAACCUCGGGUCUGCAGUCGAUACGGGCAAACUAGAGUAUUGCAGGGGAGACUGGAAUUCCUGGUGUAGCGGUGAAAUGCGCAGAUAUCAGGAGGAACACCGGUGGCGAAGGCGGGUCUCUGGGCAAUAACGUGACGCUGAGGAGCGAAAGCGUGGGGAGCGAACAGG
rnacentral:rRNA from 1 species